GACGAACGCUGGCGGCGCGCUUAACACAUGCAAGUCGAGCGGUGAAACUUUAACAGGCCCCUUCGGGGCACUGGUAAAGUGGAUUGUCGGCGGACGGGUGAGUAACACUGGAGUAGGGUGCCUUAGAGGUUAGGAUAGUUUCGGCAACCCGAGAUUAAUACCAAAUAAAAUCGUAAUGACACAUAUCAUCACUCACAAAACACCGGUGGUCUAAGAUGGACUCGCGUCCCAUUAGCUAGUUGGUAGAGUACAAGCCCACCAAGGCGACGAUGGGUAGCCGGACUGAGAGGGUGAACGGCCACAUUGGAACUGAGACACGGUCCAAACUCCUACGGGAGGCAGCAGUGGGGAAUAUUGCACAAUGGAGGGAACUCUGAUGCAGCGACGCCGCGUGAACGAAGAAGGCUUUCGAGUCGUAAAGUUCUUUUAUAUGGGAAGAUAAUGACGGUACCAUAAGAAAAAGCCCCGGCUAACUACGUG
rnacentral:rRNA from 1 species